GUGUCAGCAGCCGCGGUAAGACAGAGGGUGCAAACGUUGUUCGGAAUUACUGGGCGUAAAGCGCGUGUAGGCGGCAGGGCAAGUCGGAUGUGAAAACCCACGGCUCAACCGUGGAAGUGCACCCGAUACUGCUCCGCUAGAGUCUCGGAGAGGAAGGUGGAAUGCUUGGUGUAGAGGUGAAAUUCGUAGAUAUCAAGCAGAACACCGGUGGCGAAGGCGGCCUUCUGGACGAUGACUGACGCUGAGACGCGAAAGCGUGGGGAGCAAACAGGAUUAGAAACCCCUGUAGUCC
rnacentral:rRNA from 1 species